UACGUAGGGUGCAAGCGUUGUCCGGAUUUAUUGGGCGUAAAGAGCUCGUAGGCGGUCUGUCGCGUCGGAUGUGAAAACCCAGGGCUCAACCCUGGGCCUGCAUUCGAUACGGGCAGACUAGAGUGUGGCAGGGGAGACUGGAAUUCCUGGUGUAGCGGUGAAAUGCGCAGAUAUCGGGAGGAACACCGGUGGCGAAGGCGGGUCUCUGGGCCGAUACUGACACUGAGGAGCGAAAGCGUGGGGAGCGAACAGG
rnacentral:rRNA from 1 species